rnacentral:ncRNA from 1 species
AAGCGCCGUAUACCGAACGGUACGUACGGUGCUGUGGGAGGUCGGUUGGUCAAAUAAUGGCCAGUCUCCUACCCGAU